rnacentral:rRNA from 1 species
AGCGAACGCUGGCGGCAUGCUUAACACAUGCAAGUCGCACGAUCGGUUUCGGCCGGUAGUGGCGGACGGGUGAGUAACGCGUAGGUAUCUAUCCAUGGGUGGGGGAUAACAGCGGGAAACUGCUGCUAAUACCGCAUGACACCUGAGGGUCAAAGCUGGCAACAGCGCCUGUGGAGGAGCCUGCGUACGAUUAGCUUGUUGGUGGGGUAAAGGCCUACCAAGGCGACGAUCGUUAGCUGGUCUGAGAGGAUGAUCAGCCACAUUGGGACUGAGACAC